UACGUAGGGUGCGAGCGUUUAAUCGGAAUUACUGGGCGUAAAGCGUGCGCAGGCGGUUAUGUAAGACAGAUGUGAAAUCCCCGGGCUCAACCUGGGAACUGCAUUUGUGACUGCAUAGCUAGAGUACGGUAGAGGGGGAUGGAAUUCCGCGUGUAGCAGUGAAAUGCGUAGAUAUGCGGAGGAACACCGAUGGCGAAGGCAAUCCCCUGGACCUGUACUGACGCUCAUGCACGAAAGCGUGGGGAGCAAACGAU
rnacentral:rRNA from 1 species